CCUACGGGAGGCAGCAGUGGGGAAUAUUGCACAAUGGGGGAAACCCUGAUGCAGCGACGCCGCGUGAGUGAAGAAGUAAUUCGGUAUGUAAAGCUCUAUCAGCAGGGAAGAAAAUGACGGUACCUGAGUAAGAAGCCCCGGCUAACGACGUGCCAGCAGCCGCGGUAAUACGUAGGGGGCAAGCGUUAUCCGGAUUUACUGGGUGUAAAGGGAGCGUAGACGGCAGUGCAAGUCUGGAGUGAAAGGCGGGGGCUCAACCCCCGGACUGCUCUGGAAACUGUACGGCUGGAGUGCAGGAGAGGUAAGUGGAAUUCCUAGUGUAGCGGUGAAAUGCGUAGAUAUUAGGAGGAACACCAGUGGCGAAGGCGGCUUACUGGACUGUACCUGACGUUGAGGCUCGACAGCGUGGGGAGCAAACAGGAUUAGAUACCCGGGUAGUC
rnacentral:rRNA from 1 species